rnacentral:rRNA from 1 species
UUUUUGGAGAGUUUGAUCCUGGCUCAGGACGAACGCUGGCGGCGUGCCUAAUACAUGCAAGUCGAGCGGACAGAUAAGGAGCUUGCUCCUUUGAAGUCAGCGGCGGACGGGUGAGUAACACGUGGGCAACCUGCCUAUAAGACUGGGAUAACUCCGGGAAACCGGGGCUAAUACCGGAUAGA